GGACACCUGACAGGGCAGAAAAAGUAGAGAGGAUCUGGAGGGACAAAAAAUAAACAGUACAAGCUGGUAUUAGUUGUAAUCAGAAAAUGAGGUGUUAUUUAUAUAAAAAUGAACCUCAGCAGACUAGAAAUCAAGCAGCAUCAGUGAACUUAUUUUUACAGCCACGAUUCUGAGCUAACCCUAUGCUCAGCUUCAGGAAUGUGGAGAUGUUAUCAGACAUGGCCUGAGGCUCCCUGAAGAAGAGAGACAUGUAACCAACAACUAAAACACAGGAGCAGUCCAGGGAGAUGAUGCAGCUGCCUGGUUGCUGGUCACCAGGGCUGUUGGACACCUGUGUGGAGGACCUGGGAGAAGUCUUUUGCUCCACACUUGCUCCUUUCCUGCCAGGGUCCAUUAAAUCUCAGAGUUUUCUCCAGCUGGUGGUAGAAGGGGAAGUCAGGAUGAUUCCAAGCAAGAAGGAUCCCACCCUCAGUUGCUGGCUCUGAGGUGUGGCAGAAGUCCACAGGUGAGCCGCCGAAAGCAACCUCCAGUUGCUGAGAGCUGUUCCGGUCUGACAGUCAGUAAGGCAGCGGGGACUUCAAUCCUAC
rnacentral:lncRNA from 1 species